GAUGAACGCUGGCGGCGUGCCUAAUACAUGCAAGUCGAGCGAACAGACGAGGAGCUUGCUCCUCUGACGUUAGCGGCGGACGGGUGAGUAACACGUGGAUAACCUACCUAUAAGACCGGGAGAACUUCGGGAAACCGGAGCUAAUACCGGAUAAUAUAUUGAACCGCAUGGUUCAAUAGUGAAAGACGGUUUUGCUGUCACUUAUAGAUGGAUCCGCGCCGCAUUAGCUAGUUGGUAAGGUAACGGCUUACCAAGGCAACGAUGCGUAGCCGACCUGAGAGGGUGAUCAGCCACACUGGAACUGAGACACGGUCCAGACUCCUACGGGAGGCAGCAGUAGGGAAUCUUCCGCAAUGGGCGAAAGCCUGACGGAGCAACGCCGCGUGAGUGAUGAAGGUCUUCGGAUCGUAAAGCUCUGUUAUUAGGAAAGAACAAAUGUGUAAGUAACUAUGCACGUCUUGACGGUACCUAAUCAGAAAGCCCCGGCUAACUACGUG
rnacentral:rRNA from 1 species